UUAGAAAAGUAUUUUGUGAAAUUUUUCUGUAAUGAUCAGAACUGAGGACCCGAAAUUUCAGUCAGACACAAAGUACAAAAUAAUAAGUUCUUUAUUGAG